rnacentral:lncRNA from 1 species
UUUAUUUCAGACCCAGACUCUUUUCAAGACUACAUUAAGUCCUAUUUGGAACAAGCAAGUCGGAUCUGGUCAUGGCUCCUUGGGGCGGCCAUGGUAGGGGCCGUCCUCACUGCCCUGCUGGCAGGGCUUGUGAGCUUGCUGUGUCGUCACAAGAGAAAGCAGCUUCCUGAAGAAAAGCAGCCACUCCUCAUGGAGAAAGAGGAUUACCACAGCUUGUAUCAGAGCCA